rnacentral:rRNA from 1 species
GAUGAACGCUGGCGGCGUGCCUAAUACAUGCAAGUCGAGCGAACGGACGAGAAGCUUGCUUCUCUGAUGUUAGCGGCGGACGGGUGAGUAACGCGUGGAUAACCUACCUAUAAGACUGGGAUAACUUCGGGAAACCGGAGCUAAUACCGGAUAAUAUUUUGAACCGCAUGGUUCAAAAGUGAAAGACGGUCUUGCUGUCACUUAUAGAUGGAUACGCGCUGCAUUAGCUAGUUGGUAAGGUAACGGCUUACCAAGGCAACGAUGCAUAGCCGACCUGAGAGGGUGAUCGGCCACACUGGAACUGAGACACGGUCCAGACUCCUACGGGAGGCAGCAGUAGGGAAUCUUCCGCAAUGGGCGAAAGCCUGACGGAGCAACGCCGCGUGAGUGAUGAAGGUCUUCGGAUCGUAAAACUCUGUUAUUAGGGAAGAACAUAUGUGUAAGUAACUGUGCACAUCUUGACGGUACCUAAUCAGAAAGCCACGGCUAACUACGUG